rnacentral:rRNA from 1 species
AAUCUGGCUCAAUGUGCGAAAGCCUGACGCAGCCAUGCCGCUUGAAUGAUGAAGGUCUUAGGUAUGUAAAAUUCGUUCACCGAGGACGAGAAUGACGGUACCAGGAGAAGAAGCCCCGGCUAACUUCGUUCCAGCAGCCGCGGUAAUACGAAGGGGGCGAGCGUUGCUCGGAAUUACUGGGCGUAAAGGGCGCGUAGGCGGAUCGUUAAGUCAGAGGUGAAAUCCCAGGGCUCAACCCUGGAACUGCCUUUGAUACUGGCGAUCUUGAGUAUGAGAGAGGUAUGUGGAACUCCGAGUAUAGAGGUGAAAUUCGUAGAUAUUCGGAAGAACACCAGUGGCGAAGGCGACAUACUGGCUCAUUACUGACGCUGAGGCGCGAAAGCGUGGUGAGCAAACA